GUGACCUGGCUGUGGGUGAGCUCUGCUGCUGCUCCAGGACAGGGGGUGCUCACCCCACCCUGGCUUUGGGUCCCCCUGAUACUCCAUUUAUUGACAUGCUGGCCUUUAUUUGGUGCAGUGUUUUUAGGUUUCAUCAGAUGAACUUCAGCAUUACAGCAUGUGGGGCUUUGGGAUUGCUCUGUUUUUUUCUGAAGACCAAUUUGUGUAAGAAGCUUUGAGAUGUUGCUGCACAGACACGGCAUAUUAGAAUUGGAUGAGGAGCUUUUUCUCACUUUCCAGGCACUUUGCAGCCUUUUUUAUCCAUAUAAUUCAGCCCCAGGCACAGCAUGAGAGCAGUUUUCACCUGUAGACUUGCUAGCUUUGCUUCUCCAGCUUUCAAUCCUUGCUUUUUCCUGUGGCCUGCUGCUCUGUUUGGCAGCUCUGGCUCAGCAGUCUAAGGGCAGUUCCAGUGGCCUGGGCAGCACAAAGGAGGCAAUACUUAGCUGGCAGUGGCAGGAAGACAUCUGCUAUAUUGUGCUCUCUUCAUUUUGCCAUCCAGGGUAGGAUUUAUCCCAAGUAGGAUUUACCCUGGACAAGCAGAUGUCUGGUGAGUUGAGAUCACCCUUAGAACAAAACUUGUUUUUCCCCACUGACCAUAGAGGAAGCAGUGGAAGGAAGAGCUUUGGCUGUCUUCCAGGUAUUUUCAUCUUCUCUAAUUUCAGACACUUGUCUCACAUCUAAUAACUCUUCCAGGUUGUUGUCAGUGCAUCAAACAACACAGGUGAUAUUCAUUUGUGCCUCUGGUAACAGGAUGGGAGCAAGAAGAAAUGCCUUUCCCUCAUCUUUGGAUGAGGUUUCUCCCUGGCUUUGCACUGCAGCAAAUGCUCUGCUGCUUCCAUCAUGUUUCUCCUCCACCCAAAUCUCAACACAUGAAUUUUUGAGUUAACAGAUCUUUCUCAACUUCAGUUUCAGAUAAAUAAGAAAGAAACAGAAUUUCAAAACACAAACCAAAGGAUUCAGACAAGCUUUUUCUCCCCCCUAUUCUCCUACAUACAUUGCAAAACUUCUCCAGCUAUAGAAAAGUUAGGGACAAAAGAGAAAUGAAAUUCUGCCUUCUGCCACUAACUUAUUGAAGCUGGCAAAGCUUUGAAAAUGGAAAAGCUGAGACAGAAGGAGGAGAAUGGGAAGGAGAAUGGGAAGAAAACACAGUUCCUACAGAAUUUUUAUUGCACUAAGAUAAAGAAGAAGAAAAUGCAGGAGGAAAAAUGUCAAAACUCAAAUUCUUCCUUUUUCAAAAGCAAGUGAAAGUGUCUUAUUUUUCUGAAACAAGUGCUUUUGCAAAAAAAGUUUGCAUUAGGAGAAAGGAAAAUCAAUAAAAUAAUUUUCUCUUUUUUUGCCUAGUUGUGACUGCUGUCACAUUAACAACCUACAAUGGCAGUAAUAUUUGUAUGCUGCUGCAGAUAUCUCUAUUUUUAAUGAUUUUGGGCCCUUCCUCUACUGCAUCUCAAGUCCUGUUACUGAGUAUGCUAUGUUUAGAAUGCUAUGACUUAGCAAAACAAAGAAAAAAUCCAUCCUUUCAUGAGGCCUAGUGGGGAAUGUUGCCCUACUCAGUACUUCUUUUUUUUUUUUCUUUUUUUUUUCCUUUUUUUUUUUUCUUUUUUUUUUCUUUUUUUGAGUUUUUCUGUGUGUUGGAUGCCAUGACAGACACCAUCCUAGUCUGGAGUGAACUGACAGCAUCAACACUUGGACAAAAGGAAUAUCUUCUUUCUUGGUUUUGUGUAAAAGUGUUGGACUUUUGCUUUUUUUAAAUGCAGGUUUGGAAUUUGUGUCUUGCAGAGUCUGGAGGAUCCCAUCUCUUACCACCAUCUCCUUUUGCUCUGUCCAGCUCUCUGUGCCCUCUGCUCCACUGCCUUCAGGAAAGAAAAAAUUCUUUCUGUGCAAGGACACCUUUCAAAAAUCACACACUUAAUUUGCUUUUUAUUACAAGAUUUCUAAAAUUAAGUAUAAGGCUGAUGGGUUUUUUUUUUCAGGAUAAUGAGUCUCUAACUUAACAUACUAAUUUUAAUGAGCUAACCUGAAAAAGCUGAAGUCUUUACAUACAGUAAUGACUAUAUAUAUCUAUGACUAUAUAUGUAUCUAGAGAUAUGUAUCUGUUUAAAUUCAGGGGUUUUAAUACAAAUUUGAGUGAAUUUUUGAAGAAGUCUGGCCAAUGGAACAAGGUUCAGCUCUAAUAAAAGAAGACUCCAAGUUAGGUGUGCGGUGCAUCCACUGUGUGAAUCACCCUGGCAAACAGGGCAACUGCUAAUCAACUGUAUCACUGUCAUUUUGUGUCCUCUGA